GGGGGUGAAAGGAAUCGACAGAAAUUUUUGUCAAAAUAGGCAGAUGGAGCAUACUAGAAACUCCUAAAACUUCUAGUAAAAAGAAUAAGUGCCAACUUGUUCAAACAACCCGUCCUGGCUUACGCUUAAGUAGCAGGACCAUUCGACUUGCUGAUUCUCGCUAGGCAAAAUCGAGUGUCAAAAUUCAGCGAGAUAGAUAGUUCUCUUUGUCUCACGAACUUAUCGAAAAAAAACGAGACUGGUGAUACGAGAAUUUUGUCUGUUUUUAAUCUAGUAUCUCAAAAUAAAAAUAGACUAAAUCUGUAGAGAUAUUUUGGCAAGGUUUCUAGACGGGGCUUCGACGCCCCCACCUCCACUA
rnacentral:tmRNA from 1 species